UACGAAGGGGGGCUAGCGUUGCUCGGAAUCACUGGGCGUAAAGGGUGCGUAGGCGGGUUUUUAAGUCAGAGGUGAAAUCCUGGAGCUCAACUCCAGAACUGCCUUUGAUACUGGGAAUCUUGAGUAUGGAAGAGGUGAGUGGAACUGCGAGUGUAGAGGUGAAAUUCGUAGAUAUUCGCAAGAACACCAGUGGCGAAGGCGGCUCACUGGUCCAUAACUGACGCUGAGGCACGAAAGCGUGGGGAGCAAACAGGG
rnacentral:rRNA from 1 species